GAUGAACGCUGGCGGCGUGCUUAACACAUGCAAGUCGAACGAUUAAAGCCCCUUCGGGGGUGUAUAAAGUGGCGAACGGGUGAGUAACACGUGGGCAAUCUGCCCCUCACUUCGGGAUAACUCAGGGAAACUUGAGCUAAUACCGGAUACUCCGAACUGAUCGCAUGGUCGGUUCGGGAAAGCUCCGACGGUGAGGGAUGAGCCCGCGGCCCAUUAGCUUGUUGGUAGGGUAACGGCCUACCAAGGCGACGAUGGGUAGCCGAGCUGAGAGGCUGAUCGGCCACACUGGGACUGGGACACGGCCCAGACUCCUACGGGAGGCAGCAGUGGGGAAUUUUGCGGAAUGGGCGAAAGCCUGACGCAGCAACGCCGCGUGCGGGAUGAAGGCUCUCGGGUCGUAAACCGCUUUCAGCAGGAAUGAAAUUGACAGUACCUGCAGAAGAAGCCCCGGCUAAAUACGUACCAGCAGCCGCCGCCGUAA
rnacentral:rRNA from 1 species